rnacentral:rRNA from 1 species
GUCCACACCGUAACGAUGAUCACUCGCUGUGUGCGAUAAACAGUACGCGGCCAAGCGAAAGCGAUAAGUGAUCCACCUGGGGAGUACGCCCGCAAGGGUGAAACUCAAAGGAAUUGACGGGGUCCGCACAAGCGGUGGAGCAUGUGGUUUAAUUCGAUGAUACGCGAGGAACCUUACCUAGGCUAGAAUGUGAAGGAAUGUAUCAGAAAUGGUGCAGUCAGCAAUGACCUGAAACAAGGUGCUGCAUGGCUGUCGU